rnacentral:rRNA from 1 species
UUUCGCAAUGCCCGAAAGGGUGACGAAGCGACGCCGCGUGUGGGAAGAAGGCCUUCGGGUUGUAAACCACUGUCGGGAGUUAAGAAAUACAAGGAUAUUAAUAGUGUCUUUGUUUGACUAAGGCUCCGGAGGAAGCCACGGCUAACUCUGUGCCAGCAGCCGCGGUAAUACAGAGGCGGCAAGCGUUGUUCGGAAUUAUUGGGCGUAAAGAGCACGUAGGCGGCUAUGUAAGUCGGUUGUGAAAGCCUUCCGCUCAACGGAAGAACAGCAUCCGAUACUACAUGGCUUGAGUGCGGGAGGGGAGAGUGGAACUUCUGGUGGAGCGGUGAAAUGCGUAGAUAUCAGAAGGAACGCCGGCGGCGAAAGCGGCUCUCUAGCCCGUAACUGACGCUGAGUGUGCGAAAGCUAGGGGAGCAAACGGGAUUAGAUACCCCGGUAGUCCUAGCCGUAAACGAUGGGCACUAAGUAGAGGGGUUUU